rnacentral:rRNA from 1 species
AUGGAACGGUGGAAAAUGAAAAAGGAUCGACGGUACUGGCCUGCAGGCCAUGAGGAAGAAGGUACUGGAGCAUAUGCGGAUUUAUUUUCUUUUGAUUCUCUAUAUUUUUUUCUUCAAAAUUACCGAAAUUGUCCAUUAUGUAUUACCGAGUUUUUCUUCUUCUUACCAACUGUUUUUACUGAAAUAUUACAGUGUAUACUUGUGACAUACUAUAUCCUAUAUUCUUGCUGUUCUUGCACCAGCAUUCUUCUGAGUAUAUAUGAACUCCAUCACUGCAUGCCUAUUGUGUUUCCUGUAUUUUAA